rnacentral:lncRNA from 1 species
UGGGCUUAUUUUGAAGUGAAUCUUGUCCCUUUUUGAGCAAAUAUGGAUGUGGUUUAUGGAACCGAUUCUCAACUGAUUUCUUUGGUUUCAGUAUAAAUCCUAGGAGAGAUCGGCCUUUUACUUCAAAAUCUUCAAGCAGCUCAAAGAGAAGGCACAUAUUUGUUGAGCAGCUGCGGACUUUUGGCAGAGACACAUGCCCUUCCAAGAACAGGCACCUGUGAAAGCCGAGGCCAUCCUGCGGGAGAGCAUCCAUCUUCUUGAACUUGUACUGGCAGAAGGAGUUGCGGGCACUUCAGGUGAAGUUUGCACACUUUUGAUGCUGCUUGGAUUGCACGUCCUCGGUGCAGUCAGGCUGUCACAGCUCACCACCACUGGGGCAAGCGAAGGGACAAAACUGGUAACAAA